UUCCUUAUGUCUACAAAGCCUCUAGGAUAUACAUGACAUAACUAGGGUCGGGACAAACCCCCGCCCACACGUGACUCAUGUACAAUAACAAAACAUAAGGAACCGAUUCGGAAAGCUCCGAAGCAAACUGGAGCUCACCAACAAUAGCUGUAUGACCUGGCUCCUACUUGUGCGGUGUAUGAGUUGAGGUACCUGUGCCUGCAGCAUGAAAUGCAGGUCCCCCGUGAGGGACGUCAGUACGAAAUAUGUACUGAGUAUGUAAAGCUGUAAAUAAUCACAUAUGAUAUAGGAGCUCAAUAGAAAUCAGAAACAAGUGAAUAAGUCGUAAUAGGAGUGGACCACACUUACUAGAACUUGUGACAACCUGUACAUUGUAUUUAUUCAAUCACUUUGCCUUCGUUCUUAUCGUCUUUGUAAUCAUUACUGUACUGUACUGUGACCAUUAGGAUGCCUCCAGUACAUAUCAACUGGGAUCGACCCAUGCUAGGCUUAUGCCCCUGGGAUACCACCCAUAAACACAUGAAAUAGGGAUCGACCCAUGCUAGGCUUAUGCCCCUGGGAUACCACCCGAUAAGAGAGAACUUUCAUCACUUAGUUCAAUUAAUCUUUGAGAUUGUUAUUUCGGUCGUCACCACAUUUUUGAUACCUUGAAACAAUGAUACAUCAAUAGGAACCAAGUAAUAGACCUUCUAUACAAUAACGAUGUAAUAAGGACUCAUUGGUACAUCAACAAUAUGUUUCAGAAUCAUCAAUAUCACAACAAUGAAAUAAGAGCCUUUUGGUAUAUCAAUGAACAUUUUGACACUUUAUAGGAUGGAAACAACUUCGUUGGUAACGUAGAACAAUACAUGUUUUUGGACAACCUCGGAAUCUUACUUGAUGGAACAUUGGUGUUUUCAUGCCAAAGAACAUUGUUAGAGUAUGCUUUACAUACCUCGUUGUAGAUUCAGAUACCAAUUCAACACAACUUCCC
rnacentral:lncRNA from 1 species